UGAACGCUGGCGGCGUGCCUAAUACAUGCAAGUCGAGCGAAUGGAUUGAGAGCUUGCUCUCAAGAAGUUAGCGGCGGACGGGUGAGUAACACGUGGGUAACCUGCCCAUAAGACUGGGAUAACUCCGGGAAACCGGGGCUAAUACCGGAUAACAUUUUGAACCGCAUGGUUCGAAAUUGAAAGGCGGCUUCGGCUGUCACUUAUGGAUGGACCCGCGUCGCAUUAGCUAGUUGGUGAGGUAACGGCUCACCAAGGCAACGAUGCGUAGCCGACCUGAGAGGGUGAUCGGCCACACUGGGACUGAGACACGGCCCAGACUCCUACGGGAGGCAGCAGUAGGGAAUCUUCCGCAAUGGACGAAAGUCUGACGGAGCAACGCCGCGUGAGUGAUGAAGGCUUUCGGGUCGUAAAACUCUGUUGUUAGGGAAGAACAAGUGCUAGUUGAAUAAGCUGGC
rnacentral:rRNA from 1 species